rnacentral:rRNA from 1 species
GGUUGUGAUCAUACCAGCACUAAUGCACCGGAUCCCAUCAGAACUACGCAGUUAAGCGUGCUUGGGCGAGAGUAGUACUAGGAUGGGUGACCCCCUGGGAAGUCCUCGUGUUGCAACCCC